UACGUAGGGGGCAAGCGUUGUCCGGAUUUAUUGGGCGUAAAGAGCGUGUAGGCGGCCAGGUAGGUCUGAUGUGAAAGCCCACGGCUCAACCGUGGAGGGUCAUUGGAAACUGGAGGACUUGAGUACAGAAGAGGAAAGCGGAAUUCCACGUGUAGCGGUGAAAUGCGUAGAGAUGUGGAGGAACACCAGUGGCGAAGGCGGCUUUCUGGUCUGUAACUGACGCUGAGGCGCGAAAGCGUGGGGAGCAAACAGG
rnacentral:rRNA from 1 species